rnacentral:rRNA from 1 species
UACGAGGGGGGCGAGCGUUGUUCGGAAUUAUUGGGCGUAAAGGGUGCGUAGGCGGUUCCGCAAGUCCUGUGUGAAAUCUUCGGGCUCAACUCGAAGUCUGCACGGGAAACUGCGGGGCUGAGUGUGGGAGAGGUGAGUGGAAUUCCCGGUGUAGCGGUGAAAAUGCGUAGAUAUCGGAAGGAACACCUGUGGCGAAAAGCGGCUCAC